UUUAAUUUGGGCUAAACUCGGCAGCUGCCGCAGUGUGUGAGGUGCGAGCGCGCGCUCAGCUCAGGGAUCGAGUGGCCGCCCAGUUUGACGUAAAAUGCGAAGCACCGGCGACAGUGACAGUUGUUGCGUGAGUGUGGGCAAGAUAAGGCGACCGAAAGGUUGCCGGAGUUGUGCCGCUCGGUGCAAAGAGCGCACAGAAGUCGAGCGCUCCCAUGGGGGUAUGCCACUUGAAUACGCUUUGUGUGUGUGUGUGUGUGUGUGUUGUGAGCGUGUGUAGUUGCGUCUUUUACGAGACAGAUAGCGUUGCUGAGCUCAAACCUCCGCUACAAAACAAAUCUGCUCCCUGUGUGUGUGUGUGUGUGUGUGUGUGUGUAUGUGGGUGUUGUAGCGAAGAUGCAGAGCAACGCUAAAGCACCGGGGCAUCGGAGCUCCCAGCCUUAUCGAUGGUCUGUUGCAUUGGGAUUUCCGGGACGCUUGCACCGGCAACCCAACAAGCCAGCGUGGGUUUUAUGCUCGGGCCCGUACGGUUUAGCCGUAAUUCCCUUACCGUGAAGGUUGAAAUCAUUCAACCCAAAAUCUGCAGCACUGCGAGGAGGUUGGCUGGGCUAAACACAGGACCAUACAAUUGUGUACAGAAAGCAGCUCGGGAAGGUAAUGUUCCCCGGAGCUGAUCGUUGAGCUGAUGCACCUCUCCCCCCCCUCCCCCCACACAAACAGACAGUUCAUUUGGGAGGCUUUACUCCCGCUCUGUUCUUUCUUCGGUGCGCCUCGGAGCUCUCGAAAUACACUCGGAUUGGAUUAUCAUACCACAGAGCGUCCUUCCCCGCCCGGCUUGCCUUGCGCGCUGAUUAUUGCAGCACCAAGAACGACAAAGGUCGGCCACGGGAACGGGAAGAAAAUAAAAACGUACAACAAAACACACCUCGCCGAGAAUAAAGUUAUCACUCGCCUACCGCAGGCGGUGGUAUGGUGGGCCACCCACCCCUUACACA